CCUACGGGAGGCAGCAGUGGGGAAUAUUGCACAAUGGGGGAAACCCUGAUGCAGCAACGCCGCGUGAAGGAAGACGGUUUUCGGAUUGUAAACUUCUGUUCUUAGUGAAGAAUAAUGACGGUAGCUAAGGAGCAAGCCACGGCUAACUACGUGCCAGCAGGCGCGGCAAUACGGAGGUGGCAAGCGUUGUCCGGAAUUAAUGGGUGUAAAGGGAGCGCAGGCGGGAAGCCAAGUCAGCUGUGAAAACUACGGGCUUAACUUGCAGAGUGCAGUUGAAACUGGUUUUCUUGAGUGAAGUAGAGGUAGGCGGAAUUCCGGGUGUAGCGGUGAAAUGCGUAGAUAUUCGGAGGAACACCGGUGGCGAAGGCGGCCAACCGGGCUUUAACUGACGCUGAGGCUCGAAAGUGUGGGUAGCAAACAGGAUUAGAUACCCCAGUAGUC
rnacentral:rRNA from 1 species